GAUGAACGCUGGCGGCGUGCCUAAUACAUGCAAGUCGAGCGAACGGACGAGAAGCUUGCUUCUCUGAUGUUAGCGGCGGACGGGUGAGUAACACGUGGAUAACCUACCUAUAAGACUGGGAUAACUUCGGGAAACCGGAGCUAAUACCGGAUGAUAUUUUGAACCGCAUGGUUCAAAAGUGAAAGACGGUCUUGCUGUCACUUAUAGAUGGUCCCGCGCUGCAUUAGCUAGUUGGUAAGGUAACGGCUUACCAAGGCAACGAUGCAUAGCCGACCUGAGAGGGUGAUCGGCCACACUGGAACUGAGACACGGUCCAGACUCCUACGGGAGGCAGCAGUAGGGAAUCUUCCGCAAUGGGCGAAAGCCUGACGGAGCAACGCCGCGUGAGUGAUGAAGGUCUUCGGAUCGUAAAACUCUGUUAUUAGGGAAGAACAUAUGUGUAAGUAACUGUGCACAUCUUGACGGUACCUAAUCAGAAAGCCACGGCUAACUACGUG
rnacentral:rRNA from 1 species